AGUUAAUAUUGAGCAUCAUUUCCUCUGGUGAACUCCUAUCCACCUUUCAGAACCCAGCUAAGGGGUCAUCUCCUUAGAGAAGCCUUCACGGAUAUUCCCCUAAAAAAGAAUAAAAAAUUAAGAAAAGAGUAGAUGGGGUGGAAACCAAGCUACAAAAGACCCAGCUCUCCAGGCUACAGCCCACCAGGGAUGCAUUUCGGGAUUGGAUUUCCAACCUCAAAAUCACUCAGAGCUAGAAGGGCUGUUCUGAGGGUCCGGACACUCUUGUUCUGCCAAUGACUCAGCCUGUGGCCUUGAGUAAAACCACUUCCCUCCUCUGUACCUCAGUUCCCUCAUCCAUAGAAUGAAGAUGAAAAUCUCUGCUCUGCCUACUUCAUGGGUUGUUGAGAGAUCAAACAACAUUGGGCAGGGAAGCAAAUCAGUAUGUUAAGGGUUUAAAUCAGGGGCCAGCAGUCACCAACAAAUCGUCACAGAACCUCAUCUUCAGUGAUAAACUCUCAAAGUCCUUCCUGGUACAGUGUUAGUGUUACAGCUGCACCUGCGUACCAGGCCCUGGCCGAGCACCCACCUGCAUGAUCUCUUGCUCACUCCUCACGACAGGUGUCCGAGUGGGGCAGUACUACCCCAUGUCCUGGAUGAUGAAACCAAGGCCUGAAGCAGUGGAGGAGGCCUGGAACCACUCUCUGUCUCCAGAGAGACUACACAUGCUGCCUCCAGGGAAGUGAGACCCUAAGUUUAGCCUCUGAUUUGUCUUUAACUUGACGGCUUAAGCACUAAGAAUGGGCUCUACAGGAUUUCCUUAUAGCCCAGCUAAGAUCUGCACAGCAUUUUACAGUCUAUAAACACCUCUGCAUACUUAACCUCAGGUGAUUCUUCCCACCAACCUGUAACAUAGACAUCAUCACUUCCAACAAAGAGGAGAGAAUAAGGCCCAGAGAGGCUGAGUGACCUGCCCAGGGCCCCACAGGAAGGGAUUAGAAAUGGAGGACAAGAACCUGGGUUUCUGACCCCCAGGCUGAGAAUUCUCCCCUUCACAUGGCAAUGCCCCCAGAGGACUCUGGAUGGCGUGGGGGCAGGUCUGGCAACUCGCCCAUGGACCCAGGGUACUGUGUGAGCAUUUCUGGGGGGCCUGUGGCCGUGUAUCUGGGAGUAUUUAUGAGCUGUGCAGCUAAGCCUAAUUUUUUUUGUCCGUGAUUGCUUUGAAAUGUGGGUUCUGAGAGGUCAGCUGUAAUGCCAGCUGGCACAGCCCUCUCCCCACACGCCCAGGACAGAGUCUACAACAGUGGUAGGCUGGGGAAACCACCCAUCACACAGGCCAUUCUAUGAGUAUUUCCAAUCCCACUGCUGCAAGAAAGUGCUGGAGAAGAGGCAAAGAGCUGGAAAACAGAACCCCUGAGGACAGCACAUUGUCCUCCUCCUGCAGUCAGUCCUCACAAAUCCCAUCUUUCAGCCCCCACCCCCAUGGAGGAACCCUGAGCCCCUAAACCAGUUGAAACAUUUUCUUCUGUGCACCCCAGUUCAAUUAAAAUGAUGAGUUUGUCCCUAGUUAGUGAUUCAGGAGACAAAUCUUAUAUGAAGCAAGCUGGAAGUAUCAUCACCUGGGAAGAGCAACUCACCUUUACUGAAACAAAUUACAGGACUUGAUCGGUUGAGUCGUCUGUACCUCUGUACCUCCACCCAGCCCCAAAUCUACCCUCCAAGCAACCAAUUCUGCAUCCUUUCAUCCUUCCUCUCUACCCACUGGACCACCUGGCUCCCAACCUCAGCCAUAGCUCCUCUCCAGAUUCUAGGAUUCAUUCUGCCAUUAGUCAGGGAGGAAUGGGGGACUUCAUUCAGGCCUGCAGGGUCUGAACGUAAAGUGCAUUAAGGCAGUUAUCAAAUUGUAAAGUCUAUGUAAGAGAUAGUGUGCUGGGGUGACCAACUCCAGAGCCCAUCUGCUGUUUGAUAUCAAGCUCACCUUAUAACCCUGCUCCAGAGUCUGCGUGCCUAUCUUGAUAAACUCUGGCACAUCCAAGCCUCAGUAAAUGGGAUGUGCUACUACAUUCACCCUGCCUGCUCCACUUGCUCCCAGACUACCUGGUUCGGAGAAACUUCCUGAACUUCUCAGAGCAGCAAGAGGAAUCAACAGAUAAAACUGCAGUGAUGCCACUGCCUCCCAUGGGGAGAUGAGAACCCCAUCCCUGGAGGAACUCAAGCACCAGCCCAUCAACAACUGAAGUGUCCAGCGAUGGGCAGGGUGUCCCGACCUCCAAAGUUCCUUCCAACCCAGAGUGUCUACCUUCUCUAGCUCGAAUUCAGACUUCCCACAGCAAAGUAAGUUAUGGGUUGAUGAAGCCAGCAAGCUGAGUAUGAACUCAGGAUGCAGCUGGAUAAAACCUCUCCUGCAGUCUACCUCAACCUACAGGGUCUGCCUUCAGAACCCCUACAAAGGAAAUGACCUGGGUGGGUGGGUGGGAGGCAUCAGGAGGAUUUUGUUGACAUGUACAAAUUACAGAAAAGGAAAAACCAAAACCGAAACAAAACCUAGAAGUUCUAGGCAUUUUCUGAGUGAGCUAAGGCAGUUCUGUUAAUUCUCAAACUCCAGAAGGCACAGAAGUUAGAACCUGAGCUGAGGUAGCACCUGUCCAAAGCCCAGGGUGGGGGCUUCCUUGCACACCUUAGAAGGUAAUGAGACACUAGUCAUGGGCUAUUACAACUGACCGGACCAGCAACACUUAGUUAAGAGGAGAGAUGGGGGAAAGGGUUUUCAGGAAGGAAAAGCCACAAAAAAGGGGCAUGAAGAGAGAUACGUGUGUGACUUAUUUAGGAGAAAGUUGGGUUCUUUUUUUAGUCAAACACAACAUAAACAGCUCUUUAUAUACAUUAUUUAACUUAGUUCUCCCAACAAGUUAUUAGCUCCAUUUCACCAAUGAGAAC